AUGUCAAAUCAUCAUGCCUCUUACGUCCAGGGCUACAGGCGUGCUACAAUGGCUGAUAUAAAGAGUCGCAAUAUCGCAAGAUGGAGCUAAUCUUCAAAAUCGGUCUCAGUCCGGAUUGGAGUCUGCAACUCGACUCCAUGAAGUUGGAAUCACUAGUAAUCGUGAAUCAGAAUGUCACGGUGAGUACGUUCCCGGGUGUU
rnacentral:rRNA from 1 species